GACAGAGGUGCCGAGCGUUAGGCGGAAUCACUGGGCUUAAAGCGUGUGUAGGCGGAUUUGUAAGUACCUUGUGAAAUCCCACGGCUCACCCGUGGAACUGCUCGGUAUACUGGGUCGCUUGAGCCACUUAGGGGCUACCGGAACAAAUGGUGGAGCGGUGAAAUGCGUAGAUAUCAUUUGGAACGCCAAUGGUGAAAACAGGUAGCUGGGAGUGUGCUGACGCUGAGACACGAAAGCCAGGGGAGCAAACGGG
rnacentral:rRNA from 1 species